CAAACGCAAAAGCCACAACACAAAUACAUAAGCCACAACACAAAUACAUAAGCGACAACGGAAGUAGCUAGCUAUGUGACAACGGAAGUAGCUAAGUGACAACGGAAGUGAACGUGUUGUUGAUAAACGGAGCCGGAGGAUGAGCAGAAGGAGAAGUUCUUGUAUGAGAAAUAACUACAGUAUGUAUUGUCCUUUUUGUGGGUUCAACCUACAUGUAGAAACAGCAUUCUGCAGUUCAUGUGGCAAGAACAUCACAUUUCUGCAUGAUGCUGCUAAGCCUGGCACAAGUGAAGAUUUCAGUUGGUAUUAUGCGCAUAAAGGAUGGAGUGCUGAAACCUGUCAGAGGAAUGGUACUACCCCUUGUAGUGCAACCAGGGUCGGAUGCAGA